rnacentral:rRNA from 1 species
AGUGAACGCUGGCGGUAGGCCUAACACAUGCAAGUCGAACGGCAGCACAGUAAGAGCUUGCUCUUACGGGUGGCGAGUGGCGGACGGGUGAGGAAUACAUCGGAAUCUACUUUUUCGUGGGGGAUAACGUAGGGAAACUUACGCUAGUACCGCAUACGACCUACGGGUGAAAGCAGGGGAUCUUCGGACCUUGCGCGAUUGAAUGAGCCGAUGUCGGAUUAGCUAGUUGGCGGGGUAAAGGCCCACCAAGGCGACGAUCCGUAGCUGGUCUGAGAGGAUGAUCAGCCACACUGGAACUGAGACACGGUCCAGACUCCUACGGGAGGCAGCAGUGGGGAAUAUUGGACGAUGGGCGCAAGCCUGAUCCAGCCAUACCGCGUGGGUGAAGAAGGCCUUCGGGUUGUAAAGCCCUUUUGUUGGGAAAGAAAAGCAGCAGGUUAAUACCCCGCUGUUCUGACGGUACCCAAAGAAUAAGCACCGGCUAACUUCGUG